rnacentral:rRNA from 1 species
GACGAACGCUGGCGGCGUGCUUAACACAUGCAAGUCGAACGGAAAGGCCCUGCUUUUGUGGGGUGCUCGAGUGGCGAACGGGUGAGUAACACGUGAGUAACCUGCCCUUGACUUUGGGAUAACUUCAGGAAACUGGGGCUAAUACCGGAUAGGAUCUCCUGCUGCAUGGUGGGGGUUGGAAAGUUUCGGCGGGUGGGGAUGGACUCGCGGCUUAUCAGCUUGUUGGUGGGGUAGUGGCUUACCAAGGCUUUGACGGGUAGCCGGCCUGAGAGGGUGACCGGCCACAAUGGGACUGAGAUACGGACCAGACUCCUACGGGAGGCAGCAGUGGGGAAUAUUGCACAAUGGGCGGAAGCCUGAUGCAGCAACGCCGCGUGCGGGAUGACGGCCUUCGGGUUGUAAACCGCUUUCGCCUGUGACGAAGCGUGAGUGACGGUAAUGGGUAAAGAAGCACCGGCUAACUACGUG